rnacentral:rRNA from 1 species
GACGUAGGGGCGCGAGCGUUGUCCGGAAUUAUUGGGCGUAAAGAGCUCGUAGGCGGCUUGUUGCGUCGGCUGUGAAAAACCCGCGGCUCAACCCGUGGGCUUGCAGCCGUAUACGGGCAGGCUAGAGUUCGGUAGGGGAGACUGGAAAUUCCGUGGUGUAGCGGUGAAAUGCGACAGAUAAUCAGGAGGAACGAGACCGGCUGGGUCGGAAAGGGC